rnacentral:rRNA from 1 species
UACGGAGGGAGCUAGCGUUGUUCGGAAUUACUGGGCGUAAAGCGCGCGUAGGCGGCUUUGUAAGUCAGAGGUGAAAGCCUGGAGCUCAACUCCAGAACUGCCUUUGAAACUACAUCGCUAGAAUCAUGGAGAGGUUAGUGGAAUUCCGAGUGUAGAGGUGAAAUUCGUAGAUAUUCGGAAGAACACCAGUGGCGAAGGCGACUAACUGGACAUGUAUUGACGCUGAGGUGCUAAAGCGUGGGGAGCAAACAGG